GACGAACGCUGGCGGCGUGCCUAAUACAUGCAAGUAGAACGCUGAAGAGAGGAGCUUGCUCUUCUUGGAUGAGUUGCGAACGGGUGAGUAACGCGUAGGUAACCUGCCUUGUAGCGGGGGAUAACUAUUGGAAACGAUAGCUAAUACCGCAUAACAAUAGGUGACACAUGUCAUUUAUUUGAAAGGGGCAAUUGCUCCACUACAAGAUGGACCUGCGUUGUAUUAGCUAGUAGGUGAGGUAACGGCUCACCUAGGCGACGAUACAUAGCCGACCUGAGAGGGUGAUCGGCCACACUGGGACUGAGACACGGCCCAGACUCCUACGGGAGGCAGCAGUAGGGAAGCUUCGGCAAUGGGGGCAACCCUGACCGAGCAACGCCGCGUGAGUGAAGAAGGUUUUCGGAUCGUAAAGCUCUGUUGUAAGUCAAGAACGAGUGUGAGAGUGGAAAGUUCACACUGUGACGGUAGCUUACCAGAAAGGGACGGCUAACUACGUG
rnacentral:rRNA from 1 species